AUACAUAGGGGGCAAGCGUUAUCCGGAAUUAUUGGGCGUAAAGCGUGCGUAGGCGGCUUAUUAAGUCUGACGUGAAAUUCCACAGCUUAACUGUGGAGGGUCGUUGGAAACUGGUAGGCUUGAGUACAGUAGAGGUAAGUGGAAUUCCAAGUGGAGCGGUGGAAUGCGUAGAUAUUUGGAGGAACACCAGUGGCGAAGGCGGCUUACUGGGCUGGAACUGACGCUGAUGCACGAAAGCGUGGGGAGCAAACAGGAUUAGAUACCCUGGUAGUCCACGCCGUAAACGUUGAGCACUAAGUGUCGGAUGUAUUUUCGGCGCUGCAGUUAACACAAUAAGUGCUCCGCCUGGGGAGUACGGUCGCAAGACUGAA
rnacentral:rRNA from 1 species